UACGGAGGGGGCUAGCGUUGUUCGGAAUUACUGGGCGUAAAGCGCACGUAGGCGGCGCAUUAAGUCAGGGGUGAAAUCCCGGGGCUCAACCCCGGAACUGCCCUUGAAACUGCAGAGCUAGAAUUCUGGAGAGGCGAGUGGAAUUCCGAGUGUAGAGGUGAAAUUCGUAGAUAUUCGGAAGAACACCAGUGGCGAAGGCGGCUCGCUGGACAGACACUGACGCUGAGGUGCGAAAGCGUGGGGAGCAAACAGG
rnacentral:rRNA from 1 species